AGUGAACGCUGGCGGUAGGCCUAACACAUGCAAGUCGAACGGCAGCACAGUAAGAGCUUGCUCUUACGGGUGGCGAGUGGCGGACGGGUGAGGAAUACAUCGGAAUCUACUUUUUCGUGGGGGAUAACGUAGGGAAACUUACGCUAAUACCGCAUACGACCUACGGGUGAAAGCAGGGGAUCUUCGGACCUUGCGCGAUUGAAUGAGCCGAUGUCGGAUUAGCUAGUUGGCGGGGUAAAGGCCCACCAAGGCGACGAUCCGUAGCUGGUCUGAGAGGAUGAUCAGCCACACUGGAACUGAGACACGGUCCAGACACCUACGGGAGGCAGCGGGGGGGAAUAUUGGACAAUGGGCGCAAGCCUGAUCCAGCCAUACCGCGUGGGUGAAGAAGGCCUUCGGGUUGUAAAGCCCUUUUGUUGGGAAAGAAAAGCAGCAGGUUAAUACCCCGCUGUUCUGACGGUACCCAAAGAAUAAGCACCGGCUAACUUCGU
rnacentral:rRNA from 1 species